rnacentral:rRNA from 1 species
UACAGAGGUCCCAAGCGUUGUUCGGAUUUACUGGGCGUAAAGGGUGCGUAGGCGGUUGGGUAAGUCUGACGUGAAAUCUCCGAGCCUAACUCGGAAACUGCGUUGGAUACUAUCCGGCUAGAGGAAUGGAGGGGAGACUGGAAUACUUGGUGUAGCAGUGAAAUGCGUAGAUAUCAAGUGGAACACCAGUGGCGAAGGCGAGUCUCUGGACAUUUCCUGACGCUGAGGCACGAAAGCCAGGGGAGCAAACGGG